UUACUCUGGUUUCUCUUCAGACUGAAUAAAUCUUUUGCCUUUUACUACAGAUUUCCGUGGAGAGGAACGGCCACGCGUUUCACUGGUCUUGUUCUAUUCACAUGAACUA